AUGGCCUGGGUUCCUGUCCUCCUCAUGUUCCUGUCUCAAAUCACAGGUUCCCUGUCCAAGCCUGUGCUGACCCAGCCACCCUCUGUGUCUGCAUCUCCAGGAACAACAGCCAGACUCACCUGCACCCUGAGCAGUGGUUUCAGUAUUGGCAGCUACUGCAUUUACUGGUAUCCGCAGAAGCAAGGGAGCCCUCCCCAGUAUCUCUUGUACUACUACUCAGACUCCAUUACAGAGCUGGGACCUGGGAUCCCCAGCCACUUCUCUGGCUCCAAAGACACCUCGGCCAAUGCAGGGCUUCUGCUCAUCUCUGGGCUGCAGCCUGAGGGUGAGGCUAACUGUUACUGUGCAGUCUGGCACAGUGAUGCUGGUCACAGGGACACACACAGAUGGGGAAGUGGGACAAAUACCACAGCCUGCUCAGACCCUUGUGCUGCUAUGACUCUCUUCCAAUUUAAAAUAAGUAGAGUUCACACUGACUGUACUUGGAAGUAA